rnacentral:piRNA from 1 species
UAAGCAAAGGUAGUCCUCUCAUGGUUCAU